AUGCCCUGGGAGCUCGGGAAGGGCUCAGGGAAGGGUUGGUGCCUCUGCUCCUCUGCAGGGCUGAGCCCCAAGGGCCGGGGGAGCAGCCCAGGAUCCGAGCACAGCGAAGGUGAGGCCUCUCCCAGGGAAUGCCAGGCACAGCCCAGGGGCAGAAGAGCUCCAAGGCUCCCAGGAAGCGUUUGGAGGUCACAGGAGAGAGGGUGGACUUUGGCCAUGGCCGUUUUCCAUCUUGGCUGCGAUUCAGGCUGGGAGAUCUCUGAAAGUUCUACACAGAAAAUGUUCCACUUGCGUUGUUGUUCAGGCAAGAAAAAUAAGUUCCCAAGGCCAUUUGUUAAAGGAGGAGCUUGUUAUCCAUGCAGCCGGAAUUCCUGGGAGCAGACUGUGCUCCUGAUAAGCUCGGGAGGAGCUUGGCAAGCAGGUGCUGCUCGUUGGGGAUUGAUGGCAUUUCUGAGCUCACAAAGCAGUGUGUGGGGUGCAGCACCCCAGGUCCAGCUCCUACCUGUCUGUUGCUGGGGCUCCACAUCCCACUGCUCUGUUCCUGGGGGUCCAGAUCAAGCCUUUCCUGUCUCAGGGCUGCCUGUCUGUCCCAGGUUCCUCUCCCUCUCCUCUGCCCAGCUCCCUCUCUGUCCCCUGUCCCUUUCUCGGGGCUCCCUCUCUGUCCCCUGUCCCUCUCUGUCCCAUGUCCCUUUCUUGGGGCUCCCUUUCUGUCCCCUGUCCCUCUCCCAGUGCUCCCCAGCUCCCUCCCUGUCCCCUGUCCAUCUCUGUCCUCUGUCCCUUUCUGGGGGCUCCCUCUCUGUCCCCUGUCCCUGUCCCAGGGCUCCCUCUCUGUCCCCUGUCCCAGGGCUCCCUCUCCAUUCCCUGUCCCUCUCUGUCCCCUGUCCCCGAUUCCAGAGCAAAGCCUGCCUGAUUUGCUGGCUCCGGGCCACCCCUGAUGGAGCAGAGCUCCCCUGGCAGCUUCUCCUCUCUGCUGCCCUCCGGAUCCACCCUGCGGUUUGUUUAUUUCUGGAAGCCCCUCCCCAGCACCUGUCGUGCUGCUGCUGUCCCUGUCCCACCCCCGAGGCCAUGUGA
rnacentral:lncRNA from 1 species